rnacentral:rRNA from 1 species
UACGGGGGGUGCAAGCGUUGUCCGGAAUCACUGGGCGUAAAGGGCGCGUAGGUGGUCUUGUAAGUCUGUGGUGAAAGCCCGGGGCUCAACCCCGGGUCUGCCGUGGAUACUGCGAGACUUGAGUACUGUAGAGGCAGGUAGAAUAUCGGGUGUAGCGGUGGAAUGCGUAGAGAUCCGAUAGAAGACCGGUGGCGAAGGCGGCCUGCUGGGCAGUAACUGACACUGAGGCGCGACAGCGUGGGGAGCAAACAGGAUUAGAUACCCUGGUAGUCC